GGACCUGGUGAUGUGGGCAUUUACGGAGCAGGUCCCUAAAGCGCUCCUAAGUCUCGAAAAAGAGUUCCCCAUCCAUUUGUGAGAAACAUUUGAUGGCUUUCCGAAGUGC